rnacentral:rRNA from 1 species
UACGAAGGGGGCUAGCGUUGUUCGGAAUUACUGGGCGUAAAGCGCGCGCAGGCGGUUCUUCAAGUCAGUGGUGAAAGCCCGGAGCUCAACUCCGGAAUUGCCAUUGAAACUGUAGAACUUGAGGAUGAGAGAGGUGAGUGGAAUUCCCAGUGUAGAGGUGAAAUUCGUAGAUAUUCGCAAGAACACCAGUGGCGAAGGCGGCUCACUGGCCCGGUACUGACGCUGAGGUGCGAAAGCGUGGGGGAGCAAACAGG